rnacentral:rRNA from 1 species
UAGGGAAUAUUGGGCAAUGGAGGCAACUCUGACCCAGCCAUGCCGCGUGCAGGAAGAAGGCGUUAUGCGUUGUAAACUGCUUUUAUAUGGGAAGAAAAAGGCUAUGCGUAGCAAAUUGACGGUACCAUAUGAAUAAGCACCGGCUAACUCCGUGCCAGCAGCCGCGGUAAUACGGAGGGUGCAAGCGUUGUCCGGAUUUAUUGGGUUUAAAGGGUGCGUAGGCGGCUUUUUAAGUCAGCGGUGAAAGACUGUCGCUCAACGACGGAACUGCCGUUGAUACUGAUUAGCUUGAGUAUGAUUGAGGCAGCCGGAAUGGAUAGUGUAGCGGUGAAAUGCAUAGAUAUUAUCCAGAACGCCAAUAGCGUAGGCAGGUUGCUAAGUCAUUACUGACGCUGAGGCACGAGAGUGCGGGGAUCAAACA